CACAAAGAUAAUUCAUCAUUAUGAAGUUUAAGAACACCGAAGGCUCACAGUUUCAUGGCACAUGCUCCCAACUACGGGGCUACAAGUAGUUCCUCUACUUUCCUAAGGCUUGAAGGCUGUCUCUGGUCAGACCUCAUUCUGGGAACCCUCUUAACAGAUCCUACCCACGGUGACAGCCUGGACAGCACCUGAGAAAGAGAAAGCACCCAUAUCUACUAGGUGUCUGACUAAUGGGCCAUUGAACACACAUAUCUCUAGAGGUUAAGGAUACCUGAUGUGGAACAACAGUACCAUGAACUCCAAUCCCACUGUCAGAAUUAUAAUGUUCACCUGGAUCUCUGCAUAUUGCCUGCUACCAGCUACCCUGGUUCUUUUACUCAACUCACCUAUGAAUGAUAGCUUCCACACUCUCAACCAUGCUGACUACCCAGAUAUCGGAACUAACAUAUUGCCUGCUACUGAGACCCAUUGUUCUAUAACCUGGCUGUAGUCUAUACUCUCUAGGUUCUGUCCAUGUUUACUGUACAUCUGGAUUAAAA